AAGAAGCUGAAUUCAGACGAGCCAAGGUUUGCAAGAUUGCUGCUCUUAUCACUGCCGCUGCUUGCACAGUCAUUCUUGUCAUUGUUGUACCUAUCUGCACAAUGAAGUCCUGAACCUGUGGACUCAGCGUUACAUGCAGCUCAUGACUCCCAACGACUUUCUCUCUAAUUUCAAAAGCUGAUUCCACUGUGGCUACAGUCUGCUGGAAUAGAGACAAAAUCCUGGAUGCUUUUCUACAGUGCCGAAGGUCAUCAUCGGAGAGUACGUACUCCGGAACGACAUCUGCCUUGCUGUUAAGCGCAGGCAUAGCUACCCUCCGAUAUAUUUUCAAAAGUACAAUAUCCUUUUCCACAUAAGGAAUGCCAUGGAUUAUCAGUAAAUAAAAAUUGGACUCUUCCAUUCAGAUGAUGAUUCUUGGUGGGCAUUAAGUUAUACAGAACAGAUCCAAAUAGCUGCUCUUUGAAGGAGCUGACUGACUUGGACACAACAAUU
rnacentral:lncRNA from 1 species